GGUACCCGUAGGGCCAGGCGUGCAGCGUGCGGUGACAGUGGCGCGGGCGGCGGCGCUGCGUGGCUCUGGAGGACCGGCGCGGACCUGCAGCGGCUCGCUGAGGCCGUGGCUCGUCGCUGCAGCUGUCAGGACUCUUGGGGGCGAACUUGCCAGACAGAGAAGAGCGGAAGGGAAGGGGUGUGUAAGGAGGGCCGUGGGCGUGUUUGAUCUCAGAGAGGACUUUGAAACUGGUUCUUAGUAGUUGAGUCUCAUUUUUAUUUUGACAGAUUCGGGAGGCAGCAGAUGCCCUAUUCUCGAGAUUUUCUUAAUUCCAGUCAGUUGAUAGCAUGAUUUGAGUGAGAGCUUUUUAGUGAAGCUACUGGGUUAAGAUAGCUCAAGGGAUGGAUGAAGCUGCCCGAGAUAAAAAGAAAUGUGGCGUCGGAGCAGAGAAGAGGUGUCUGGAAUGAGGGGUCAAGAUGAUCUACUAGUUCUUUCAGGUCUUCCUGUACUAGGUACCGUCCCCAAACUAUGUAAGCUUGAGGUUUGGGCUUCUUUACAUAACCUCUAUGUUAACCUUUACAUAAGUGGGGAAGUAGGAGACGCGUCUGUGCCAGCCAGACCUUAGAUUCUGCAACUGCUCCAGGCUCCACACUGCGGUUUUCCACCAUCAAUAUAUGAAGCACGUGAGGAUGGAUUAGAGGGUAGUAGAAUUUGAACAGCCUUGAUGAGAUCUGCUAAAAGGUGUGACGUCUAGGUGUAUAAGGCAAUGAUAGCUGUCGGUCAGGAAGAACUGUGGCUUGCAAACCUAUGUCUCCAAAGCUUGGCUGUUGCCUUCUCUUUAGCAUUUGGUGGGAUAAGGAAGAGAGGUAUAUACUCACACGCCCAAGUUUGAAAAUGGAGUUGCAGAGACUCACAGAAUUUAAUGAUUUGACAUAGCUACCUUAUUUAACAGAAUGACAAACAGAAGGUAGUCAAGAACGCAGACACUGGCUAUCCUAGCUGUACUUGCCAACACAGAUGCUAAAGUUAAUGUCUCUUUACCUGGACUGGGUCCUUUCAGCAAUAAAGAUUGCAACCCACCUUUACCCCUAUUAAUGUGUGUUACGAAUUCUGUACACUUACUGACACAAAUACCAAAGCUGAAAAAUAUUAUCACUUGACCUGGACUGGCUCCUUUCAGCUGCAGGAGUUGACUAUUGAUGAUAUACAGUAGUAAAAUCAUCUGUACCCUUGCUCAUGUGUGUUCCAAACUCUGUGUAAUGCUGGAGUCAGAUGCCUUUUCAGGCACAACUGACAGCUGAAGCUUUUCAGCAAUUCCAAGACUAUCCAUCGGAAAAUAAUAAGACUGACUAAGCCUAGGGGUAAGGAAACUUAGCUUAAGGAGACCUCAGCUAAAACUCAUGCUUAAAAAUUAAGGAAAAAAAAUUUAAUCAGUUGAUAAUGUACUGUUUACAAACACUAAUUCUGGCAAGUUGUGCCUAAUAUUCCCAAGAGAUUGUUGAAACUGGGGCCUUAAGAAUCAAGUAGAUUAGUUUAACUACAUUUUCAUUCCUAAAAUGCAAGUACUUAUUUUUAACUUGAAAAAUCAUAAGCUUUAUAAAAGUGCUUAUCACUGUGUCUAUGACAAAGUAAUAAUAUAGUCACCCAGUGCUUAAUAAGAGAGACACUUAAAUACAUUUCUGCAGCUCCUUCAUUGUUCAAACAGCAGAGAGUAUGCUUCUACAAUGGUACAGCCAUCAAACACCUCUACUACAGACAGCCCCCAAACUAGUAUCUUUCUAGACUAUGAACGUAUAUAGCAUGUUGUUGCAAUUAUUACUGUAGAUAAGUGUAAUGGUAUUUGCACAGUUAGGCAUAGCUACAAUGUAGAAGGUAUAGUUGAAGUACUA
rnacentral:lncRNA from 1 species